GACGAACGCUUGCGGCGUGCCUAAGAAAUGCAAGUCGAGCGAGCUCAAGCCUUCGGGCGGAAAGCUAGCGGCGAACGGUCGAGUAACACGUGAGCAACCUGCCCCAAAGCGGGGGAUAGCCCACCGAAAGGUGGAUUAAUACCGCAUGUGGCCGUUCCGGGGCAUCCCGGGACGAUUAAAGCAGCAAUGCGCUUUGGGAUGGGCUCGCGGCCUAUCAGCUUGUUGGUGGGGUAACGGCCUACCAAGGCUACGACGGGUAGCUGGUCUGAGAGGAUGGUCAGCCGGAUUGGGACUGAGACACGGCCCAGACUCCUACGGGGGGCAGCAAUUAGGAAUCUUGCGCAAUGGGCGAAAGCCUGACGCAGCGACGCCGCGUGACCGACGAAAGUCCUUCGGGAUGUAAAGCACUUUUUGUAGAGGAUGAGGAAGGACGGGUAACUCUCAGAAUAAAGUCUCGGCUAACUACGUG
rnacentral:rRNA from 1 species